rnacentral:rRNA from 1 species
GAUGAACGCUGGCGGCGUGCCUAAUACAUGCAAGUCGAGCGAACAGAUGAGGAGCUUGCUCCUCUGACGUUAGCGGCGGACGGGUGAGUAACACGUGGAUAACCUACCUAUAAGACUGGGAUAACUUCGGGAAACCGGAGCUAAUACCGGAUAAUAUAUUGAACCGCAUGGUUCAAUAGUGAAAGACGGUUUUGCUGUCACUUAUAGAUGGAUCCGCGCCGCAUUAGCUAGUUGGUAAGGUAACGGCUUACCAAGGCAACGAUGCGUAGCCGACCUGAGAGGGUGAUCGGCCACACUGGAACUGAGACACGGUCCAGACUCCUACGGGAGGCAGCAGUAGGGAAUCUUCCGCAAUGGGCGAAAGCUUGACGGAGCAACGCCGCGUGAGCGAUGAAGGUCUUCGGAUCGUAAAACUCUGUUAUUAGGGAAGAACAAAUGUGUAAGUAACUAUGCACGUCUUGACGGUACCUAAUCAGAAAGCCACGGCUAACUACGUG